rnacentral:lncRNA from 10 species
CACCUCCCUUUGCAGUCCGGCCCAGAUCGUCCUCGGAACCCGGUGUGGCCCCACCUCCCUUUGCAGUCUGGCCCAGAUUGUCCUCGAACUGGUGUGGCCCCACCUCCCUUUGCAGUCCGGCCCAGAUUGUCCUCGGAACCCAGUGCAGGCCUCAUGCAUGGCAAAUAUUCCACAAACACACGCGGAACUGAACAUCACCAUCAACGCAUUGAUCAUUACCAUUUAGUGAAAUAAUGAAGGCUGCCCUUUAAAUUUGCAUUUGUGUGGACCAAUCAUCAGUAGCCAAGUGACCUGCUGCCCUGUCUCUGUGGACCACAACUCAGGGGAGCCCCGAGCAGAGCCAGCUCCCCGAAGUCCUCCAAUUGUUUACAUUUACGUCACAUGUGGAACUAUGAUCUGGGAAAGUUGGAUGUGGCCAAGUCAGAGGAGCUGAGCCUGCCCUGGGCUGGCUGCAGAAGACUCGGAAUUCACUGCCUGGUUGGACCCUCACUGCAGAUUUGGGAUGUAGGAGGGCAGGUGGUGGUAUCCCCUGGAAGAGUGCUGGGAGGAGGCAGCUGAAGACAGGGGAAGGCUCCAGGAGCCCAACGUGCCUCACAUACAUGGUCUCUGCGGAGAGAACAACCUCGGUUCAGCUCCUGCCUCCCACACUUAAUCUACGGGAACUUCUGUUUACCAUCUUUAGGGUAGUGGUAAUACUAAUUCUUUCUGCAAGGACCGUUGCAACAAUUCAAUAAGACCACGGAUGUGUGAGGGCUUCUUCAAGGAAGCCAGAGGGAGGGCCAGUGUGGCCACCGAGGCUCCUGUCUGUGGGUGGACACCAGCACAGGGGAAGCAGACGUGUUCCUGCCAUUGUCAGAUACAAGGCUGCAGUUAGGGGGUCCUGCCUAGUCCACUGGCUUGCUCUGAGCAGCUGUUCUUAUUGAAGCACGUGCCCAGGAGACGGCUUUAUUUCCCUCCCUCUCUCUGUUGUUAAGCAGUUCAAAAGUCACUGAGAGGUCAAGUCCUGAAGGCUAUGUACAAAGAACGACUCUCCUGAAAAGAUGGCCCCUGCUUCCCACAGCCCCACCGCUGAAGUCAGUGUUUGUGUUGGAGAAUAAUUAAAGCUGAUCACGUUUUGUCCCUAACACGGAGUGACAUCUUUUGAAUCUCUGCAUAUUGCUGUUUUCACUAAGCCACAUGUAACACUUCAGAGUGCCAAAUGCUUUUUAAAAAAUAGCCCUGGCUCUGAAAGAGUGCUGCAGAAUAACUCUGAUGGAAUAUGGCUUCUAUGAAAACACAAAAUGUUAAUCACCCCCCCAAGAAAAAAAGAAUUCAAAGAAUUGUUUGAAAAGAGAUGUUUGUUCUGGGCACGUAUUUCAAGGGCAAAAGUGCUUGAAGAGGAGUGGCUUACGUUUGUUCUGGUUCCUUAAGAUCUCCAGCCCAGCUCCCCAAACGGAGAGAAAUGGAGACCAGUCUUGCUUUCUGCAAAUUGGAGGCAUCACCUGACUCUUGUGUGCUGUCCAGGUAUGGUCAGGACUCAUGAAACAAGAGGUGGCAUUGGACACCUUGGAAGAGAAGCCAUGCCCCAGGCAGACCCUUUCUCACUCUCUGCAGCCCUGCACAGGCCUGUGUUCCCGCCGACCACCAGCCUCUGUGAACUUCUGCUCCUUGUCCUGCCUCCCCAGCCCAGCCCUGGAUUUUAGUGGCUACUGCGUACAAACCAGUUUCCAGCCUUAGCCAGUGCUCCUUGCUGCCCAGCCAAGAAUCUACAUACUCAUCCUCUGUCCCCUUCUGGCUGCUUCUCCUUCCCCUCUGAGACAAUUUCACCAGCCCCCAUACUGACCGGAGCUGACCCUGGAACUCAACUGAAAUAAUAGAACCAGCAGGCAGUUCCCACUCAACGUGCUUCCCUGAGCCUGCCUGUCUCCAGGACAAAGCCACCUCUGCGCUCCUCAUGCCCAUCUUCUCCUGCCUUCCCAGGAACCUCACCCCAUCAAGCACGCUUUCCCUCCUGAAAUCUCCAGGUUCUCUUCUCUUUUGGCUGUUUCCCCUCAUCCUAUGUAUACAAUCCAUUCUCUCCCAUCUUAAAAACAAACUACAGAAACAGUAAAGAGAUCAGUAGUUGCCACGGGUUCAGGGCAAGGUGGGAGGGAUGAGUAGCUGGAGCCCAGGGCACUAGGGUGGAGGAAUGCUUCCAUAUGAUGUUGUCAUAGUGGGUACAUGACAUUGUACAUUUGCCAAAAGCCAUCGAUCUGUACCACAUAAAGCACCAACCCUAAAGGAGACUAUGGACUUUAGUUAAUGAUAAGGUGUCCACAUGGCCUCAUCAACUAUGACGAAGACACCACACAAAUGCAAGAGAAUAAUAAGGGAAAUUGUAUGAAGGGUGGUGGGUGGGGGGGGGUGGAAUAAUACAAGGACUCUCUGUACUUCCUGCACAGUGCUUCUAUAAACACAGAAAUGUUCUAAAAGAUCAUCUAUUAAAAAAGCAAAACCGAACAAGACCUUCCCCUUGGUGGCUUUCAUGUAAAUGGCAGGGUAAGUAUAGGUAGUUAGCUCCCCUUUCCAGAGUCCAAAGGAAAUAUUUUUUAAGCUAGGGAAGCCUGUACCACACAGAAAACUGACAUCACUUGAUUCAUGCAACUUCCACUAGAAAGGUUCAGGUAUGUCUGUACUGAAAUAGAGGAAAGGUGGAAUUAUAACCAACGUUUCGCGGAAAGAGUAACUUGGUUCCAAAUGAGGGAGAUGAGAGACCCUGGUGUCACUCGCAGAGGCAGGAAGACAGGCAAUGAACAGAAAGGCAGCCAGCGGGGCGUCCCCAGGACAAACACUGCAAUGGGCUAGAUUUCCUCAGGAUGAGAAAGUCAAGGGGGAACGGAAGGUUUUUUAAGAGAAGCUACAAGGGCAGAAAUAAUCAACAAAAAGAAACCCACAAAGGUGAAGAAGGACUAGGUGAAGGUGAACACAGGAUCGCUGAAUUUCCAUAACAUAAAGCCUCAAAGAGCCGAGGGUGCCUGUGCUGCUGAGAACGGAAAGGAGAAGGCCCCGGUGGAAGCUCUCGUCACAGCCACGUUCCACGCCACAGGAGGGCGUUCCCAGACAGGCCCGAUUUUAAGUAUAUGAACCGGGAACCCUUCCCCAGAAGACUUUUUAGAGGUAUAAGCAAUUCUGCCCAAAGGGCAGUCAACAUUUAAAAGCUGAGAAUAGAGAAGUCAUUCGAAAAAAGGACCAACAGGAAGUAUCGAAACCAUCUACCUGUGGAUUUCUGUCUACAAACCGGCUGUAAACGGCGACACGGCAUGUAAACGCUAACAAUAAUGCUUUAUUAAGGGGAAUUACACUUACCAGUCACAAUGCAGGCUCUGCUAGAAACAAAUCCAGGAUCACAUCUAUAAGAACCAGGUGAUAUUGCUGUCAGCCUAAAAAACCCAAGUGGUAAAUUGAGAACUUCUCAAAACUAAUAAACAUGCUAACUGAUAUGAUUUGGAUCUG